GACCUCAAAUCAGGUAGGACUACCCGCUGAACUUAAGCAUAUCAAUAAGCGGAGGAAAAGAAACUAACAAGGAUUCCCCUAGUAAMUGCGAGUGAAGCGGGAAAAGCUCAAAUUUAAAAUCUGGCAGUCUUUCGGCUGUCCGAGUUGUAAUCUAGAGAAGUGUUAUCCGCGCUGGACCGUGUACAAGUCUCCUGGAAUGGAGCGUCAUAGAGGGUGAGAAUCCCGUCUUUGACACGGACUGCCAGGGCUUUGUGAUGCGCUCUCAAAGAGUCGAGUUGUUUGGGAAUGCAGCUCAAAAUGGGUGGUAAAUUCCAUCUAAAGCUAAAUAUUGGCGAGAGACCGAUAGCGAACAAGUACCGUGAGGGAAAGAUGAAAAGAACUUUGGAAAGAGAGUUAAACAGUACGUGAAAUUGCUGAAAGGGAAACGCUUGAAGUCAGUCGCAUUGUCUGGUAAUCAACCUUGCUUUUGCUGGGUGUACUUUCCAGAUGAUGGUCAGCGAUCAAUUUUGACCGUUGGAUAAAGUCUAGAGGAAUGUGGCAUCUUCGGGUGUGUUAUAGCCUUUGGUCGCAUACAACGGUUGGGAUUGAGGAACUCAGCAUGCCGAAAGGCCGGGUACUUGUACCACGUUCAUGCUUAGGAUGCUGGCAUAAUGGCUUUAAUCGACCCGUCUUGAAACACGGACCAAGGAGUCUAACAUGCCUGCGAGUAUUUGGGUGGAAAACCCGAGUGCGUAAUGAAAGUGAAAGUUGAGAUCCUUGUCAUGGGGAGCAUCGACGCCCGGACCAGAACUUUUGUGACGGAUCUGCGGUAGAGCAUGUAUGUUGGGACCCGAAAGAUGGUGAACUAUGCCUGAAUAGGGUGAAGCCAGAGGAAACUCUGGUGGAGGCUCGUAGCGAUUCUGACGUGCAAAUCGAUCGUCAAAUUUGGGUAUAGGGGCGAAAGACUAAUCGAACCAUCUAGUAGCUGGUUCCU
rnacentral:rRNA from 1 species